UAUGUUUAAAUUUGAUCUCUAUUGAAUGUGAUACAAUCAAAAUGGAAAAAGAAAUUGUAACGAAAGAGGAACGAUGGUGACGAAGUGCAUGAAGAAAACAAACAAGAAGUGAUUGAAUGAUUAAACCAUUUGGAAGAAGAAGGAAAAGAACAUUAAUUAGACGGUAUAUUUGAAUUGUGGGUGUUUUUGGUAGAGACUAGAAGGGUCUCAAAGACUCAAUUGAUGAUAGAUGAAUUUUUGAAAAUCACGGAUAUAUGAUUGGAUGGAAGGAGACAGAGAUAUCUAUGGAGUGAUCAUGUGGGACUUAAUAUCCACUACUUUCAAG
rnacentral:lncRNA from 1 species